ensembl:lncRNA
GCUUGGAGAUGGAGUGGCAACUGGAGUGAAAACUCCCCAAGGGGUCAGUUGACCACCCGACAGUGCCCCCAAGCUGCCAUCUCCAGGCUGGGAGAGGGAGGCUCCAGCAGAGGGGCACCGAGAGCCUUACUCGUGCCAGGUCCCAGCCUGGGCUUUUUCUUCUUGUGGAUGGCAGUGUCGCAGAGAGCAACUGGGAAUGCCCGAGGCCCCUUGAAGUCUUGGCCCCAGAGUGGCUUCCCUUCCUCCUUCCUCCUUCUGUUGCCAGAGCCAGUCACAGUGCCAAGCUCAAAGUCACAGGUGAACACUGUCUUGCCUCUCAGUGGGAGACACGACGGAGUUGGAACCAACAGUGCAAUCUGCCACAGGAGGAAGAUGAGACAGAGAGAGGUGAAGGAACUGCCCUGACUCAGGUCACGCUGCUGGUCUCUUGCACUGGCAGGCAGACUCUUUACCACUGUGCCGCCUGGGAAGCCUGAGGAGGGAGGAGGAGGCAUCACUCAGCUGGCCCCCCACUCCCAGCCCCCACUUAGCCCUAUGGGGGGUCCCUGCCUCAUGCAGUGACUGCUGCCUGCCCCCGUUCCCCUACCAUUGGAACUGGAACCUGGAGCUGCCCCCAGCUUGUACUGGUUGGAGGUAAAAGGAAAGAAAGGAUGGUGAUGACAAAGGAUGUUUCCUGCGUACCGAAGGCGUGUUUGACUUUUGAUGUUUGAUGUGUCCACAUCAGCCUUCUCAUGUGAGGACUGCCGAACCCAGG